AACGAACGCUGGCGGCAUGCCUAACACAUGCCAGUCGAACGAGACCUUCGGGUCUAGUGGCGCACGGGUGCGUAACGCGUGGGAACCUGCCCUUAGGUUCGGAAUAACUCCCCGAAAGGGGUGCUAAUACCGGAUAAUGUCUUCGGACCAAAGAUUUAUCGCCUUUGGAUGGGCCCGCGUUGGAUUAGCUAGUUGGUAGGGUAAAAGCCUACCAAGGCGACGAUCCAUAGCUGGUCUGAGAGGAGGAUCAGCCACACUGGGACUGAGACACGGCCCAGACUCCUACGGGAGGCAGCAGUGGGGAAUAUUGGACAAUGGGCGAAAGCCUGAUCCAGCAAUGCCGCGUGAGUGAUGAAGGCCUUAGGGUUGUAAAGCUCUUUUACCCGGGAUGAUAAUGACAGUACCGGGAGAAUAAGCUCCGGCUAACUCCGUG
rnacentral:rRNA from 1 species